rnacentral:rRNA from 1 species
CAGUCGCCGCGGUAAUACGAAGGGUGCAAGCGUUAAUCGGAAUUACUGGGCGUAAAGCGUGCGUAGGCGGUGAGUUAAGUCUGCUGUGAAAUCCCCGGGCUCAACCUGGGAAUGGCAGUGGAUACUGGCUCGCUAGAGUGUGUCAGAGGAUGGUGGAAUUCCCGGUGUAGCGGUGAAAUGCGUAGAGAUCGGGAGGAACAUCAGUGGCGAAGGCGGCCAUCUGGGACAACACUGACGCUGUGGCACGAAAGCGUGGGGAGCAAACAGGAUUAGAUACCCCGGUAGUCCCUGUCUCUUAUAC